CGAGUUUGAUCCUGGCUCAGGAUGAACGCUAGCGGCAGGCUUAACACAUGCAAGUCGAGGGGUAUAGUUCUUCGGAACUAGAGACCGGCGCACGGGUGCGUAACGCGUUAUGCAAUCUACCUUCACAAAGGGAUAGCCCAGAGAAAUUUGGAUUAAUACCUUAUAGUAAUACGACUUGGCAUCAAGAUGUAUUUAAAGAUUUUAUCGGUGAAAGAUGAGCAUGCGUCCCAUUAGCUUGUUGGUAAGGUAACGGCUUACCAAGGCAACGAUGGGUAGGGGUCCUGAGAGGGAGAUCCCCCACACUGGUACUGAGACACGGACCAGACUCCUACGGGAGGCAGCAGUGAGGAAUAUUGGACAAUGGGCGCAAGCCUGAUCCAGCCAUGCCGCGUGCAGGAUGACGGUCCUAUGGAUUGUAAACUGCUUUUGUACAGGAAGAAACACUGGUUCGUGAACCAGCUUGACGGUACUGUAAGAAUAAGGAUCGGCUAACUCCGUG
rnacentral:rRNA from 1 species